UUAAGCGACUAAGCGUACACGGUGGAUGCCCUGGCAGUCAGAGGCGAUGAAGGACGUGCUAAUCUGCGAUAAGCGUCGGUAAGGUGAUAUGAACCGUUAUAACCGGCGAUUUCCGAAUGGGGAAACCCAGUGUGAUUCGUCACACUAUCAUUAACUGAAUCCAUAGGUUAAUGAGGCGAACCGGGGGAACUGAAACAUCUAAGUACCCCGAGGAAAAGAAAUCAACCGAGAUUCCCCCAGUAGCGGCGAGCGAACGGGGAGCAGCCCAGAGCCUGAAUCAGUGUGUGUGUUAGUGGAAGCGUCUGGAAAGGCGCGCGAUACAGGGUGACAGCCCCGUACACAAAAAUGCACAUACUGUGAGCUCGAUGAGUAGGGCGGGACACGUGGUAUCCUGUCUGAAUAUGGGGGGACCAUCCUCCAAGGCUAAAUACUCCUGACUGACCGAUAGUGAACCAGUACCGUGAGGGAAAGGCGAAAAGAACCCCGGCGAGGGGAGUGAAAAAGAACCUGAAACCGUGUACGUACAAGCAGUGGGAGCCUCUUUUAUGGGGUGACUGCGUACCUUUUGUAUAAUGGGUCAGCGACUUAUAUUCUGUAGCAAGGUUAACCGAAUAGGGGAGCCGAAGGGAAACCGAGUCUUAACUGGGCGUUAAGUUGCAGGGUAUAGACCUGAAACCCGGUGAUCUAGCCAUGGGCAGGUUGAAGGUUGGGUAACACUAACUGGAGGACCGAACCGACUAAUGUUGAAAAAUUAGCGGAUGACUUGUGGCUGGGGGUGAAAGGCCAAUCAAACCGGGAGAUAGCUGGUUCUCCCCGAAAGCUAUUUAGGUAGCGCCUCGUGAACUCAUCUCCGGGGGUAGAGCACUGUUUCGGCAAGGGGGUCAUCCCGACUUACCAACCCGAUGCAAACUGCGAAUACCGGAGAAUGUUAUCACGGGAGACACACGGCGGGUGCUAACGUCCGUCGUGAAGAGGGAAACAACCCAGACCGCCAGCUAAGGUCCCAAAGUCAUGGUUAAGUGGGAAACGAUGUGGGAAGGCCCAGACAGCCAGGAUGUUGGCUUAGAAGCAGCCAUCAUUUAAAGAAAGCGUAAUAGCUCACUGGUCGAGUCGGCCUGCGCGGAAGAUGUAACGGGGCUAAACCAUGCACCGAAGCUGCGGCAGCGACACUAUGUGUUGUUGGGUAGGGGAGCGUUCUGUAAGCCUGUGAAGGUGUGCUGUGAGGCAUGCUGGAGGUAUCAGAAGUGCGAAUGCUGACAUAAGUAACGAUAAAGCGGGUGAAAAGCCCGCUCGCCGGAAGACCAAGGGUUCCUGUCCAACGUUAAUCGGGGCAGGGUGAGUCGACCCCUAAGGCGAGGCCGAAAGGCGUAGUCGAUGGGAAACAGGUUAAUAUUCCUGUACUUGGUGUUACUGCGAAGGGGGGACGGAGAAGGCUAUGUUGGCCGGGCGACGGUUGUCCCGGUUUAAGCGUGUAGGCUGGUUUUCCAGGCAAAUCCGGAAAAUCAAGGCUGAGGCGUGAUGACGAGGCACUACGGUGCUGAAGCAACAAAUGCCCUGCUUCCAGGAAAAGCCUCUAAGCAUCAGGUAACAUCAAAUCGUACCCCAAACCGACACAGGUGGUCAGGUAGAGAAUACCAAGGCGCUUGAGAGAACUCGGGUGAAGGAACUAGGCAAAAUGGUGCCGUAACUUCGGGAGAAGGCACGCUGAUAUGUAGGUGAAGUCCCUCGCGGAUGGAGCUGAAAUCAGUCGAAGAUACCAGCUGGCUGCAACUGUUUAUUAAAAACACAGCACUGUGCAAACACGAAAGUGGACGUAUACGGUGUGACGCCUGCCCGGUGCCGGAAGGUUAAUUGAUGGGGUCAGCGCAAGCGAAGCUCUUGAUCGAAGCCCCGGUAAACGGCGGCCGUAACUAUAACGGUCCUAAGGUAGCGAAAUUCCUUGUCGGGUAAGUUCCGACCUGCACGAAUGGCGUAAUGAUGGCCAGGCUGUCUCCACCCGAGACUCAGUGAAAUUGAACUCGCUGUGAAGAUGCAGUGUACCCGCGGCAAGACGGAAAGACCCCGUGAACCUUUACUAUAGCUUGACACUGAACAUUGAGCCUUGAUGUGUAGGAUAGGUGGGAGGCUUAGAAGUGUGGACGCCAGUCUGCAUGGAGCCGACCUUGAAAUACCACCCUUUAAUGUUUGAUGUUCUAACGUUGACCCGUGAUCCGGGUUGCGGACAGUGUCUGGUGGGUAGUUUGACUGGGGCGGUCUCCUCCUAAAGAGUAACGGAGGAGCACGAAGGUUGGCUAAUCCUGGUCGGACAUCAGGAGGUUAGUGCAAUGGCAUAAGCCAGCUUGACUGCGAGCGUGACGGCGCGAGCAGGUGCGAAAGCAGGUCAUAGUGAUCCGGUGGUUCUGAAUGGAAGGGCCAUCGCUCAACGGAUAAAAGGUACUCCGGGGAUAACAGGCUGAUACCGCCCAAGAGUUCAUAUCGACGGCGGUGUUUGGCACCUCGAUGUCGGCUCAUCACAUCCUGGGGCUGAAGUAGGUCCCAAGGGUAUGGCUGUUCGCCAUUUAAAGUGGUACGCGAGCUGGGUUUAGAACGUCGUGAGACAGUUCGGUCCCUAUCUGCCGUGGGCGCUGGAGAACUGAGGGGGGCUGCUCCUAGUACGAGAGGACCGGAGUGGACGCAUCACUGGUGUUCGGGUUGUCAUGCCAAUGGCACUGCCCGGUAGCUAAAUGCGGAAGAGAUAAGUGCUGAAAGCAUCUAAGCACGAAACUUGCCCCGAGAUGAGUUCUCCCUGACCCUUUAAGGGUCCUGAAGGAACGUUGAAGACGACGACGUUGAUAGGCCGGGUGUGUAAGCGCAGCGAUGCGUUGAGCUAACCGGUACUAAUGAACCGUGAGGCUUAACCUU
rnacentral:rRNA from 1 species